rnacentral:rRNA from 1 species
AGAGUUUGAUCCUGGCUCAGGAUGAACUUUGGCGGUGUGCCUAAUACAUGCAAGUCGUACGCACUGGCCCAACUGAUUGAUGGUGCUUGCACCUGAUUGACGUUGGAUCACCAGUGAGUGGCGGACGGGUGAGUAACACGUAGGUAACCUGCCCCGGAGCGGGGGAUAACAUUUGGAAACAGAUGCUAAUACCGCAUAACAACAAAAGCCACAUGGCUUUUGUUUGAAAGAUGGCUUUGGCUAUCACUCUGGGAUGGACCUGCGGUGCAUUAGCUAGUUGGUAAGGUAACGGCUUACCAAGGCGAUGAUGCAUAGCCGAGUUGAGAGACUGAUCGGCCACAAUGGAACUGAGACACGGUCCAUACUCCUACGGGAGGCAGCAGUAGGGAAUCUUCCACAAUGGGCGCAAGCCUGAUGGAGCAACACCGCGUGAGUGAAGAAGGGUUUCGGCUCGUAAAGCUCUGUUGUUGGAGAAGAACGUGCGUGAGAGUAACUGUUCACGCAAUGACGGUAUCCAACCAGAAAGUCACGGCUAACUACCUGCCAGCAGCCGCGGUAAUUUGUAGGUGGCAAGCGUUAUCCGGAUUUAUUGGGGGUAAAGCGAGCGCAGGCGGUUCCUUAGGUCUGAUGUGAAAGCCUUCGGCUUAACCGAAGAAGUGCAUCGGAAACCGGGCGACUUGAGUGCAGAAGAGGACAGUGGAACUCCAUGUGUAGCGGUGGAAUGCGUAGAUAUAUGGAAGAACACCAGUGGCGAAGGCGGCUGUCUGGUCUGCAACUGACGCUGAGGCUCGAAAGCAUGGGUAGCGAACAGGAUUAGAUACCCUGGUAGUCCAUGCCGUAAACGAUGAGUGCUAGGUGUGGAGGGGUUUCCGCCCUUCAGUGCCGGGAGCUAACGCAUUAAGCACUCCGCCUGGGGAGUACGACCGCAAGGUUGAAACUCAAAGGAAUUGACGGGGGCCCGCACAAGCGGUGGAGCAUGUGGUUUAAUUCGAAGCUACGCGAAGAACCUUACCAGGUCUUGACAUCUUGCGCUAACCUUAGAGAUAAGGCGUUCCCUUCGGGGACGCAAUGACAGGUGGUGCAUGGUCGUCGUCAGCUCGUGUCGUGAGAUGUUGGGUUAAGUCCCGCAACGAGCGCAACCCUUGUUACUAGUUGCCAGCAUUAAGUUGGGCACUCUAGUGAGACUGCCGGUGACAAACCGGAGGAAGGUGGGGACGACGUCAGAUCAUCAUGCCCCUUAUGACCUGGGCUACACACGUGCUACAAUGGACGGUACAACGAGUCGCAAGCUCGCGGGAGUAAGCUAAUCUCUUAAAGCCGUUCUCAGUUCGGACUGUAGGCUGCAACUCGCCUACACGAAGUCGGAAUCGCUAGUAAUCGCGGAUCAGCAUGCCGCGGUGAAUACGUUCCCGGGCCUUGCACACACCGCCCGUCA